rnacentral:rRNA from 1 species
ACGCUCGACACCUACGGGGGGCAGCAGUGGGGAAUAUUGCACAAUGGGGGAAACCCUGAUGCAGCGACGCCGCGUGAGUGAAGAAGUAAUUCGUUAUGUAAAGCUCUAUCAGCAGGGAAGAAAGUGACGGUACCUGAGUAAGAAGCCCCGGCUAACUACGUGCCAGCAGCCGCGGUAAUCUGAGCGGGCUGGCAAGGC